AUUUUGUUUUUUUGUUUUAUUUUUAUUUGGUUUUCCACUUGUCACAACCUCAUUGGUUACUUGCUAAAAAAUUAGAAAAAAAUGGUGAUACCUGAAUAGAUUCCUUUGAAGGAGUUGACGACUGACAAGUAUUUUCCAUAAGCGAUAAACAUUCUUAUGGAUCUAUGACUCUGGGAUCCUUUGUAAAAAAUCUAGGUCAUACCCGGUGAGAACCCUAUUGUGGAAAGAAAUUAGAUUCAUC
rnacentral:lncRNA from 1 species